rnacentral:rRNA from 1 species
GAUGAACGCUGGCGGCGUGCCUAAUACAUGCAAGUCGAGCGGUAAGGCCCUUCGGGGUACACGAGCGGCGGACGGCUGAGUAACACGUAGGAACGUACCCCAAACUGAGGGAUAAGCACCAGAAAUGGUGUCUAAUACCGCAUGUGGCCCACGGGCUAAAGCUCCGGCGGUUUGGGAACGGCCUGCGUCCGAUUAGCUAGUUGGCGAGGUAAUAGCUCACCAAGGCGACGACCGGUAGCUGGUCUGAGAGGAUGAUAAGCCAGACUGGGACUGAGACACGGCCCAGACUCCUACGGGAGGCAGCAGUAGGGAAUUUUCCUCAAUGGGGGCAACCCUGAUGGAGCAACGCCGCGUGCAGGAUGAAGGCCUUCGGGUUGUAAACCUCUUUUAGUAGGGAAGAAGCGAAAGUGACGGUACCUGCAGAAAAAGCACCGGCUAACUACGUGCCAGCAGCCGCCGUAA